rnacentral:hammerhead_ribozyme from 1 species
GUACUGCUGGCGAGUCCAAAACAGGACGAAACAGCUGUCUAGUGC